rnacentral:rRNA from 1 species
AACGAACGCUGGCGGCAUGCCUAACACAUGCAAGUCGAACGAGACCUUCGGGUCUAGUGGCGCACGGGUGCGUAACGCGUGGGAACCUGCCCUUAGGUUCGGAAUAACUCCCCGAAAGGGGAGCUAAUACCGGUUAAAGUCUUUGGACCAAAGAUUUCUCGCCUUUGGAUGGGCACGCGUUGGAUUAGCUAGUUGGUAGGGUAUAAGCCUACCAAGGCGACGAUCCAUAGCUGGUCUGAGAGGAUGAUCAGCCACACUGGGACUGAGACACGGCCCAGACUCCUACAGGAGGCAGCAGUGGGGAGUAUUGGACAAUGGGCGCAAGCCUGAUCCAGCAAUGCCGCGUGAGUGAUGAAGGCCUUAGAGUUGUAAAGCUCUUUUACCCGGGAUGAUAAUGACAGUACCGGGAGAAUAAGCACCGGCUAACUCCGUG